ensembl:lncRNA novel transcript
AGUACCUAAGAAAAAAAGACCUCCUGAUAUGCCUCUAAACUUGGGACGACUGCAAAUCAACAUGAAUACCUGUUGGUAAGCCACAGUUUGGAUUUGGACUCCCCUGUGUGCAGUCUAUGCAAUGUUAGAACAGAAGGUCUGACCAUGGACUCAAGAGCUGACGUUAGGAAUGUCAGCACCAUCCUGCUCUCCAAGGACUCCUCAUCUUCAACAGACUCCUCAUCUUCAAAGGAAAGGGUGGAAACUGCAACUUGUGCCAUGAUCCCUGCGUGAGAAAAGUAGUAAGAAAUCCUACCCGACCAUAGAAUGUUAGAACAGAAGGUCUCACCGUGGACUCAAGAGCUGACAUGAAGAAUGUCACCACCAUCCUGCUCUCCAAGGACUCCUCAUCUUCAAUGGACUCCUCAUCUUCAACGGACUCCUCAUCUACAACGGGCAGGGUGGAAACUGCAACUUGUGCCAUGAUCCCUGCGCAAGAAAAGUAGUAAGAAAUUGAGUGGUAGAAAUCCAGUGUCCUAAACUCACAUCCAGAGCUGUGAGAGUUUUUCACAGGCUGGCUAAUUCAGAGUUUUCUUGCAUCAGAGGAAAAGUAAGACUCGGAAACUUGGUAUUCGAUUUGCCCAAAACUCUCAUUAGAUAGAGAAUCCAUCCGCUAACUUUCUAUCUAGUAUUAUUUCCAUAAAGUUAGAUCAAUAUCACUCCCAAAAUAAAUCCACGUGGCAA